rnacentral:tRNA from 1 species
GUUAAGUUGGCAGAAUAGUGCAUGUGAUUUAGAUUUUCAAUAAAAAAUGGGAUGUUUUACUUAACA